rnacentral:rRNA from 1 species
GCUGAACUGUUAGCCUAUAAACCAACACCAACCCACACCAACACACCCUCAAACCAUUAACCAUGCCUAGUAAAGGCGAUUGAAACCACCCAACAGCGCAAUAGCACACAGUACCGCAAGGAAACACUGAAAGAUCACUAAAACUAAACGCACCAAACAGCAGAGCCAACCCCUCGUACCUUUCGCAUCAUGGUUUAGCAAGCACCCGCAGAUAAAGUGCACUACAACCUGCUCACCCGAACCCAGACGAGCUACCCAGGGGCAACCAAUAUUAAGGGUGAACCCGUCUCUGUAGCAAAAGAGUGGGAAGACCCCUAGGUAGAGGCGAAAAACCAAUCGAGCCUGGUGAUAGCUGGUUCCUCAAUUAAAUGAAUUCAGUUCAACUCUAAUACCAACCCGCUUAACCCAAAAAAUCAAUGUAAUUAUUAGAAGAUAGAAACUAAAGGUACAGCUCUAGUUUCCCUGCAACCCACAGAUCACAGUAGAAAACCAAACCCGCCUUACACCAUAGGCCCUCAAGCAGCCACCAAAAAAAAUCGCGUUAAAGCGUCAUAAUCAACUAAUCCCACACACCACCAAGAACCUCUGUAAUCACAAUUGAGCCAAGCUAUAAUAAUAGCUGCGAUACUGCUAAAACUAGUAAUAUGAGCCCACUCGUUCCGCACACCCAUACGUACCACUACAAUCACCGGACCCACCAACCUGCCACACUAACACGCUCACCCCACCCACCAACCCCGUUACCCCAACUCAGGCGUGCUCGAACAACAGACAAAAUGCCACUAAAGGAACUCGGCUAAUGUGUCCCAUCUGUUUACCAAAAACAUAGCCUUUAGCGCAACAAGUAUUAAAGGUACUGCCUGCCCAGUGACCACUUUAACGGCCGCGGUAUCCUAACCGUGCAAAGGUAGCGUAAUCACCUGUUCUCUAAAUAAGGACCUGUAUGAACGGCCAAAUGAGGACCCAACUGUCUCCACUGGCAAGUCAAUGAAACUGAUCUCUCGGUCAAAAAGCUGAGAUACUACCAUAAGACGAGAAGACCCUGUGGAACUUUAAGCCCAAUCAUUAACCCAGCAAAACUAGCCCACUAUAAUGAUACGCUUUUAGUUGGGGCAACUACGGAGAACAACCCAACCUCCGCGAACACACAACAUAAAGGCUGACAAGCCAACCUCUAUUAAACAAUGACCCAGUAAAACUGCUCACCGAACCAAGUUACCCCAGGGAUAACAGCGCAAUCCUCUUUAAGAGUCCAUAUCGCCAAGAGGGUUUACGACCUCGAUGUUGGAUCAGGACACCCAAGUGGCGCAGCCGCUACUAAAGGUUCGUUUGUUCAACGAUUAAAGUCCUACGUGAUCUGAGUUCAGACCGGAGCAAUCCAGGUCGGUUUCUAUCUAUGCAUAGCUUUCUUAGUACGAAAGGACCAAAAAGCCAGUGCCCAUAGAACCUCCACGCACUGCCACAACCUCAAGAAACCAACUAAAACACACCCAGAACAUCACUCCCCACAAUUUGGGGGUU